GAUGAACGCUGGCGGCGUGCCUAAUACAUGCAAGUCGAGCGAACAGACGAGGAGCUUGCUCCUCUGACGUUAGCGGCGGACGGGUGAGUAACACGUGGAUAACCUACCUAUAAGACUGGGAUAACUUCGGGAAACCGGAGCUAAUACCGGAUAAUAUAUUGAACCGCAUGGUUCAUUGGUGAAAGACGGUUUUGCUGUCACUUAUAGAUGGAUCCGCGCCGCAUUAGCUAGUUGGUAAGGUAACGGCUUACCAAGGCAACGAUGCGUAGCCGACCUGAGAGGGUGAUCGGCCACACUGGAACUGAGACACGGUCCAGACUCCUACGGGAGGCAGCAGUAGGGAAUCUUCCGCAAUGGGCGAAAGCCUGACGGAGCAACGCCGCGUGAGUGAUGAAGGUCUUCGGAUCGUAAAACUCUGUUAUUAGGGAAGAACAAAUGUGUAAGUAACUAUGCACGUCUUGACGGUACCUAAUCAGAAAGCCACGGCUAACUACGUG
rnacentral:rRNA from 1 species